rnacentral:rRNA from 2 species
CCUACGGGAGGCAGCAGUGGGGAAUAUUGCACAAUGGGGGGAACCCUGAUGCAGCAACGCCGCGUGAGCGAAGAAGGCCUUCGGGUCGUAAAGCUCUGUCCUAAGGGAAGAUAAUGACGGUACCUUAGGAGGAAGCCCCGGCUAACUACGUGCCAGCAGCCGCGGUAACACGUAGGGGGCAAGCGUUAUCCGGAAUUAUUGGGCGUAAAGGGUGCGUAGGCGGCCUUGUGGGUCAGAGGUUAAAUACUACGGCUUAACCGUAGUCCGCCUUUGAAACUAUAGGGCUUGAGUGCAGGAGAGGAGAGUGGAAUUCCUAGUGUAGCGGUGAAAUGCGUAGAUAUUAGGAGGAAUACCAGUGGCGAAGGCGGCUCUCUAGACUGCAACUGACGCUGAGGCACGAAAGCGUGGGUAGCGAACAGGAUUAGAUACCCUGGUAGUC